rnacentral:rRNA from 1 species
AACGAACGCUGGCGGCAGGCUUAACACAUGCAAGUCGAGCGCCCCGCAAGGGGAGCGGCAGACGGGUGAGUAACGCGUGGGAACGUACCUUUUGGUUCGGAACAACUCCGGGAAACUGGAGCUAAUACCGGAUAAGCCCUAACGGGGAAAGAUUUAUCGCCGAAAGAUCGGCCCGCGUCUGAUUAGCUAGUUGGUGAGGUAACGGCUCACCAAGGCGACGAUCAGUAGCUGGUCUGAGAGGAUGAUCAGCCACACUGGGACUGAGACUCGGCCCAGACUCCUACGGGAGGCAGCAGUGGGGAAUAUUGGACAAUGGGCGCAAGCCUGAUCCAGCCAUGCCGCGUGAGUGAUGAAGGCCUUAGGGUUGUAAAGCUCUUUUGUCCGGGAAGAUAAUGACUGUACCGGAAGAAUAAGCCCCGGCUAACUUCGUG